UGGGGAGUGGUCGAGUGGCAAGACGCUGGGCUCUGGACCCAGAGAUCGGGGGUUCGAAUCCUCCCUCCCCAGCCA
rnacentral:tRNA from 1 species